CCCAAGCCCAUGAGUGUUUCUGUUUGCUUUUACACAGAAAUCUGGGCUCUGUAAGGUUGCAAGGACUGUGAUGGGAUGGGACUGAGCUGGGGCUGGCAAAGGGAGCAGCAGGGCCACCUCCAUCCCACACCACUCCAGCUCUGAGCUUGCAUUGCUGACUGCAGCAGAGCAAGGACACCCCACUGUGCAAAAUACCCAAAUGGGGUCUGUUCUAGGGUGGAUCAGGCAGAGCAAAGGAGGAGAAAUAAAGUCUUCAAGUGGUUCACAAGGUGGUAGCUUCUUGCAGUUGGCCUGAUUACAUGCAUCUGAAGUUGGCAGAAACUUCCUGCUGCCGGCAGUGGAGGCUGGAGUGAAAUUUAGAUGGGGAUUGUUCAUGCAGAGAAGGACACUUGUCACAGAGGGAAAGGGGAAGGAAACCGUGGCCCCUGCCAGGGCAAAGAAAGGGUUGGAGGAGGCAGCCUGAGUCAACCACAAGAAGAGUCCCACUAGCUCUUUCUACCUCCACCCACUUCCAGACACUCCUGGCCAUGUUUGAGACAGCACUAUUGAAUCCUUUCAGCACUACAGCAUUGUAUCUGUUCAGAGAAAUGCACUUCAACAGGCCAACCACCCUUAAAACCAGCCCCAUUGUUUCUCCUAAAAGCCUCAUUGAAAUCUGUGUAUAUAACUGGCUGCUGUUUUGUGAGUUAGCCAUGCUUGUGCAUUACUGAUUUGAAAAUGAAUGCUCCUUGGAGGGUUAUUUUCCCUGAAAUCCCUCUUCUCAAAGAAAUGUUCCUCCUUCCUUCAACAAUAUCAUUGUGGAAAUUCCACCCUUUAGAAAGAUGAUCAAUAUUGCUUUGUGGACUGGGAUCUGGUGGGAAUUGGUUUUAGCAAGGGUAUCAGAGCAGUGGUUUAACAAAUCUGUGUGCCUGUUUACUGAGGAGCAGUGUUACCUGCCUUGCCCAGCAGAGAGAGACACAGUCACUCACACACACCUCAAAGUGCUCCCAUUGCACGCUGCCAGUGAAGCAGUAAAAGCAGCUGGGCUAGAAGGAGUUAGGAGGAGUUAUCCCACAGACUGCAUUUUCCACUAUCAAGGUAUCUGGAAGUAUCAGAUUUAUUUGAAUCCUUAACAACAGCACAGGCUGGGAGCACUGGCAGGUCCAGCAGGCAGACCCAGUGACCCCUGUUCCUCCAGGUGAUGGUGAAAGCAGGGCAGGGUGAGAGGCAUGGUACAUCUGUGAAGCACCAUUCUCAUCUGGGUUUGGCAAAAUUCUGGUUUCUUUCAUUAGUCGCACUUAGAAACCCCUCAAAACUACAAAAAUGCAUUGUCAGGUGUUCUAAAUGGAAACCAGCAAAUACAGCUGAUGUCUAAAUAUCCAAAAUGGUGUGCCAGCUUUCACCCCCUUUGUGAGCCAUACUGGUGAUCAGCAAUUUAGCACCUCGCUGGGGUAGGUGCCUCUUUCAAGAUACAGUUGCCCAGCAAGGCACCAACAGCCAGAGAAUCACAGACUGGUUUGGGUUUGGAAGAAAUCUUUAAAGGCCAUCUAGUCCAGGCCCUUUGGAAUAAACAGGAACACUUUCCAUUGGACCAGGUUGCUCAAAGAAUUGAAUGUUUCCAGGGACAGGAUGUCUACCAUCCCCAUGGGCAAGCUGUGCCACUGUUUGACCACCCUCACUGUAAAAAAAUUAUUCAGUAUGUUUAAAAUAAUUACCUCUUGCUGUAUCUCUACAAACACUAUUAAAAAGUCUGUUCCCACCUCUCUUUUAAACCCCCUUUAAGGUCAGGUGCACUUGCAACCCCACUUCAUUCAGCUCCUGGCUGGAUGAGGUUUUUUCUGCUGUGCAGCACUGAGCUACAUGCUAAGACUGGCUUCCAGGUGCAUUAAGACACAUUCAGGUCUGGGUGAGGGGGAAAAAAUCUCCAUCUCCACUUGGAAAUGAGGGGUCAAACAAACCUGUGGCAAAGUGGAGUGCUUCACAGAGUGUGGUAAUGGAGUUGAUGCCACGUGGAUGGCAGAAAGUGUACACAAUAUUGGCCAGUUGUUUGAUACUGCCACUCUAAAGGCCCCAAGAAUUAGACCAAUUUCACACUAGAAGAGGUGCUUGUUUCUCACAUUUUCUUUCACAGUUGGAGUCCUGGUCACUUGUUGAUCUUCUGUCCUCAUAAAAUCUUUCCAGUUCAUUUAAAAGUUGGCUCUCUUGUGCAUUUCUUAAAUUCUUUCUGAAGCUCAAGGUUGGAAAUGCUUCCUUACUUCUGAGUCUCCAAGGGCAAAACCGUAAAGUGAGCACCCUGACCCCAAAGGCCUUAUGCUGCCAAAUACAGCCAGCAAGAAUUUGUGGUAAACAGGGCUGUGGGAUCACACUGCAGUAUUAAGUACUGACUAAAAGGUAUCUUGUACUUGAAGGCUUCAAAAUCCUUUGCUUUGUCUCCAGCCUUCUCCAUUGCAUCUCUGUGAUACAUGGUAAUUCUCCACUGAGAGAUUUUCAAACUUCUCUUUUUUAAAAUUUUAAUCUCUCCAUAAAAAACAGGUGGUCAUAUAAGGCUGGUAAGUUAUUUCCUUGAACUUGAGGACAUCACUUCUUUCCCUAUAAUUUUAGAAAAUCUUACUAUUGAGUCCUUUCGACAUGGUUUUUUGCAAGAUAACUCAUGAGAACCUGGUGCUGCCUCUGCUGCUCUCUUUCCCUCUCUCAAAGCACACUAUGUACAUGGAGAUGAAUAUUUCUUACAUAACAGCACAGACCAAGGAGCAUUAUUAUUAAUACAAUAAUUAUAAAUAAUAUAUUAAUUAGCAAUUGCACACACUUCUAGCUAUGGAAAAACCUGAAUUCAAGUCCUGCACUCUUUUGUGUUGUAAAACUCGUCAGUUCUAGAAAAUUAUUGCAGGAGUUCACCAGUAGAUGAGUACUUUAAUUAAUCAAGGCUGGAAGUGUUGCCUGCUAGCAUUGUUGCAAACCAUAUUUUGUUUGUCUCAAUCCCAGACUACCAAGAGUUAAUAGCCUCAAUAUUAACCCAUACACACCUGGGUAAUCCCCACAAUACUACCACCCACCAAAGCAUACUUUGAAAGUACAGAAGUCCCUUUUCCUGUUAUUAUGAUGAUGCAGAUAUAUUUAUUUUACAUAAAUUGCAUUGUUUUUUCUUCUUUUUCUGGCACUUGUCACCUCUUGAUUUUUACACAUCAAGAACUUGCAAUAAAACACCUGAUAGUUCUGUAUGAAAAUGUCAUAAAACCCCAUAUCUGGAUGUUUAGAUUAGUUUCUUCUUUUAAAUCUUAUGCAAUAAAUGUCAGAGUAACAAAGUAAAAAAGAUUCAGCUUUACACCAACGUUUGUUUCCUGGAUUUGUUCUUCUGUUGGAUGCUCGCUGUUUUAGCUUGCAAAAUCUUCUCUGCCACUGAUUUUUCUUCUGUGUUACCUGCAUAUCCACACAAAUUUCCUAUGGAGUGCAAGCUUUUUCAAGGGUUGUUCUUAGCAGAAACAUACUUGUGUUUACAUAUAGCCAGAUAUUAAACUUCUUGGAAGCUCUCAGACAGGUGAACUCUGGAUUUUUUUUCGAUAUGUAGUCCCACAGGUAUUAGCAGGAGUAUUUUGUAGUGCUAAUGUACUCACAUAUAUCUAGAGAGGGGUAUAUCUGCCCUCUAAACUGUGAAAACAAAUGAUCAGGUACAAAAUUGUCGUUUAUCUUGAGUUUAAUAUAAACUAGCAUUACAGUUCUUUAAAGGGUUUGAACUUGUGGCUGUAGACUUUCCACGGUUUACUGUAUUCUUAAGGACUGAAAAAGCUGUUUAUUAUUGUUAUCCAUAUGAAAGAAGUGCUUAUUGACUGGCCUAAUUAUGCAAAUGCACUGCAGGGGAGAAUCUCUACCUGCAAAUCUUACAGCAUAAACUAAAUAAGAGUGGGAGCAGAACGGAAGGGGAGAGCAAAUGAACAAAGUGGUAGAACUGUAGCUCUCUGAUUACCAACCAAGGUCUGCACAUUCUGUACACAUUGAAUUUCUGUAAUGCUGUAUUUUCUCGUAGAAUUUUCCCAGACAUGCAACCAUAGUUCUGGAAAGACCAUUCAGUGCUUUCAAAUAAGGAUCCUGACCAACUACAGGUCUUAGAAAUAUUGUUUAAGUGACAUCAAGGAAAUAAUUUUGCUCUGUUAAAUGACAAGACAAAAUUGUUUUUCAUGUACAUUUGGAUUAUAUGGAGGUUAUGAAAUAUGGUGUGCUGAUUUGGCUGUGUUAGACUCAAUUUUCUUCACAGUAGCUGCUGUGGGUGUGUGUUUUGGAUGUGUGAUGCAAACAGUGUUUGUAGUUCAGGGAUGUUUUUGUUACUGCUGAGCAGUGCUUGCACAGAAUCAAGGUCUUUUCUGCUCCUCACCCCACCCCACAGCUGGCUGGGGGACAGCUGGAACAGCUGACCCAGCUGCACAUGGGGGUGUUUCCUGAAAUGGAAUCAUGGCAUCAUACUCAGCAUACAAAGCUGCAGGAGGAUCACUCUGUGGUUAAAGUUGUAGGGCUGAACCGAGCCAAAUGAAGAUGUGCACUGUGCUAGCAAAAGGGACCUGCAGCAACCAAGUCUUUAAUUUGAACCAAUUCUGCUUUUCCUGAAUUAUCUUCCCUGAUUAUAAAAUAUCACGACAUGGCACCUCAUCCCUGAUCUGUCAGUUUGGGUUUAUCAAGAGCUGCCUUAAAAUGACAGUCGCAUUUUGUGAGGCGUUCAGAACUAUUCAUUCAAACCCCUUCCCAUGGGGCUGGUGCAGAGCUGCUCUGCAGAGGUGGGAGCCAUCCCCAGGGGGGUCCUGCAUCCCUUUCCCGGAGCCCGCCCGGGUUCUCCAUCCCGGGUUCUCCAUGCCGGGUUCUCCAUCCCGGGUUCUCCAUGCCGGGUUCUCCAUCCCGGGCUCUCCAUCCCGAGUUCUCCAUCCCGGGUUCUCCAUCCCGGCCCCACCGCCGCUGUCCGCGGUGCUGAGCGGUCCCGGCCCCGCGGGGUGCUGGAGUCAGCGAGCCGGGAGUCUGAAUUCUUCACAGAGGUAUGCAGAGAUUGAAUUAAAGCCUUUGGAUGGAUUGAAGUAUGUUAAACUAAUCACACAUAAAGUAGAGGUGUAAGUUUAGGUAUUAUGAUAAGUGAGUCAGUAAGUAAGUUUUAGGAUGAGCUUUAGUGCUUUUUAGUAAGUGAAAGGUUUAAAUGGCAGAAUAGAAGUGCGAGUUCUAGUGAAGGUUAAAAAACAUACUAAUGUUUUCAGUGGAGAAAAGUACUUUUAGACAUAAUAGAGCUCUAGUAAGAAUAUUGCUUACAUUUUUCAGAUAAAACAAGAUAGGUUGUAUGUGUAGUUUAUAGGUAAGCUGACAUGCUAAGAAACUAGAAUUGUAAUAGGUUAAGGAGUGGUGGUCUGAGUUUGUGUCUUAGAUUGUUGGGAAGAUUCUAUAUAAGAGCAUGCACUGGGGAGACCUGGUGCUUUUUGCCAUUGCUUUUACCAUUUUGCUUUUGCUUUGCUUUGCUCGCCACCAUCAUCAACACCCGAGAAGACAGGAGGUGCCCAGCAACAUCAGCCCCACUGCAGCAUCCAGGAGCAGAUUCUGCUUCAAUCUGGGACUCUGUGCCAAAACUUUGCAUGGACCUGAAUGUCUGUGACUGUGCCUUUGAGACUGAUGUGCUUCUGCAAUAAACAGCUUUUUAGCAACUGUUAACUGCUUUGCUCAUUUAAGAAGAUAACCGAGGAAAGUGCCAGCUCCAGCCCAGCCUAAAGAAAAGGCUCUGCCUUCAUCAGGCACAUUGUGGGGACAAGGGGAGGUCCCACAUCUGCCCACCUGGCUCCUGCACCGGGAGCAGGUUUCUCUCUGAACAUGAGCAGUUCAGGGAUCCUAGGAAUUGUGUUGGCAUUUGUAUUAAUUCGUUUUUGUAGCAUCACUGGCACUUAGGGCGCUCUUGCAGAAAAAGACCAUUUGCCUGAAAUUUUUAUGCCUUGAGGCCUCUUUGGCUGAGCUGGUGCUCUGGAGAGUUGCAUUGUGUUUUUCCUCUUUGAUUCAUGUGUCUGAAUGUCCAAAAACAACAUGCAGAAAUUUAGCUAGAGCAUUAGAAUAAUUGCCUUUACUGUGGAUAAAAGGAUAAAGCUCACACCUUAUGAGUCAUACUAAUUAUAUCCAGAGGGAUGCAAGGUUUGGCUCAUGAAGAAGUUUUGAGACAGUAACACCAUCUUAUCACAGAAAUUAUUUUAUGGUCACAGAGCCCAUAGAAGGUAAAUACAUAAGAGCUCAGAGCUCCUAUUUGCAGCAAGAGAUUUCUAUAGGCAUGUUCUGGGCAGCUGGAUUUGAACAUCUUCCAACAGAAUGAAAAUAUUUCUUCUUCACUCUAUUCCUUUUUUAUAACUGUGUUUCAUAAUAAAUGCUAUUGAUUUUUCA